rnacentral:rRNA from 1 species
GCAGGUGACAGUCGCGAUGGGGGUCCACCCAGUCCCAUCCCGAACCUGGCAGUUAAGCCCAUCCGCGCCUAGGAUACUGCGCCCGCAGGGGCGUGGGAAAGUAGGUCGUCGCCGGCC